GUGGAGUUUCACAGGGAUAUAAGCGAGCAAGAUUUUAGUUGCCAUGGGCAUAAGGCCCAUCUCAGGAUGUGGAUCCGUGGGUCCCCCCACCCCAUUUAGUCAUGGAACCAGACCAGAACCAAUGACACCAGGACCGUCUCUGGGAGUGCCUUCAGGUAGUACCUGCAGCACUGAGGAACAGGAUUUGUGUCUCUUGGACUGACUGCAUCAACUCAGCUGUGAAACUGGCUUGAGCCUGGAUCAGCAAGGAUCAACUGGAACAGGACCUCGUGGGGUUUCCUUAGGGCUCACAGGUUCUUUGUAGUUACCAAACUCUCUUCUGGCUCCUGCUGCCCCUGUUUGGCCAACACCUGUAUGACUUGUCCCACCAAGCAGACUGGCCCUGCAUUUGUACAUUGUGCUUAAGCCCCAUAAAACUAUCAUGCGAAACAAGGAGCCACCUUUGAAACCACACCACAGAAACUCAUCAGGGCAAGUCAUUCUCAAACUCAGCUUUUCAUGUGAAGUAAACUUCUAACAGUAUUCCCAGGAAAGAGAUAAGAUGUGCUAAGAUUUGCUAUUGUAAGCCCAAUACUGCCAGAGGCCCAUGGCAACACACAGAAUCUAAGCCAAGGUAUAGAAACACACUACAGGAUCAAAACAAACAAACAAACAAACAAAAACCCUUCAGGCUUUACUAAGAAAUCUCAUUAAAAAGGUCAAAUCCAUAGAGAAGGCUAGCAAGAAUAGAUGAGGUGCUGAACCUGCAGGAGUAACAUAAUAGGGAUGUUGUAACAUCCAGCCACAGAAAAAGUUCCCAGAUUUAGGCUGCAUUUAUUUCUUCUUUGCCAUAUAUUUUCCUGGUAAGCAUGAGUCCCUACUCAAACUAUCUGCAGAAAAAUAUCCUCCAAGAAUUUUGUUAGUGCUUUUUAUCUUUUGUAAUUAUAAAGGCAAGCUGCUGUAACAUGAAAAGCCUGGAAAUACUUCAAUGUUUUUUAACUGUGUAAAUGUGAUAAAAAGUCUUUCUCUGAUUUCUUUUCUUAUUUUAUCUGUGUCUUUUAUUUUUUUAUUUUUUACUUUUCGUUUCACAUUCAGCUGGGGCUCACUUCUCAGUAGAAAUGGAACCUUGAAUAUUUUGAAGAAAUUAGAUUUUGAAACAGAUAAGCUAUAAAUAAUGGACAAUUUAGUGCUGCAGCUGCACAAUAUGACUACUAUCUCUCAUUUUUAACAGCAAAAGAAGUUGCAUUGAUCUGAACACAAACAGACUUAAGCACGUGAAAAUCUGUGGUGCACAUGAAAUGGAUAUGGUUGAAUCUAUUUCAAUUAUUUCAUUGAUUAUGUGCAUUUUUUCUCCAAUGUAUGAACUUAGACAUGUAUGAGAACUUCAAAGAAAUACAUUCAUUGCCUAGCAGGAUUUUCAAAAUAAUCUAACCUUUGAAAAUCCCACUGGGAGCCUAUCUACAUUUUUAAAUGCCUAAAUAUCCUUUAAAACCCGGUCCUCUGCAACAUUAUUUUUGUCCUUGUAUAAGAAUGUGCAACACAGUGUUUGAACCUUCCUCUAAAUUUGCC
rnacentral:lncRNA from 1 species